rnacentral:rRNA from 1 species
GAUGAACGCUAGCGACAGGCUUAACACAUGCAAGUCGAGGGGCAGCAGGGGAGUAGCAAUACUCCCGCUGGCGACCGGCGCACGGGUGAGUAACACGUAUGCAACCUGCCCUUGUCAGGGGGAUAAGCGGAAGAAAUUCCGUCUAAUACCGCAUAAUGCUGCGGGGAGACAUCUCCCUGCAGCCAAAGAUUUAUCGGACAAGGAUGGGCAUGCGGCGCAUUAGCUGGUUGGCGGGGUAACGGCCCACCAAGGCGACGAUGCGUAGGGGUUCUGAGAGGAAGGUCCCCCACACUGGUACUGAGACACGGACCAGACUCCUACGGGAGGCAGCAGUGAGGAAUAUUGGUCAAUGGCCGGGAGGCUGAACCAGCCAAGUCGCGUGAGGGAAGACGGUCCUAUGGAUUGUAAACCCCUUUUGUCAGGGAGCAAAAACUGCCACGCGUGGCAGGAUGAGAGUACCUGAAGAAAAAGCAUCGGCUAACUCCGUGCCAGCGGCCGCGGUAAUACGGAGGAUGCGAGCGUUAUCCGGAUUUAUUGGGUUUAAAGGGUGCGUAGGCGGACAGUUAAGUCAGCGGUAAAAUUGAGAGGCUCAACCUCUUCCCGCCGUUGAAACUGAUUGUCUUGAGUGGGCGAGAAGUAUGCGGAAUGCGUGGUGUAGCGGUGAAAUGCAUAGAUAUCACGCAGAACUCCGAUUGCGAAGGCAGCAUACCGGCGCCCAACUGACGCUGAAGCACGAAAGCGUGGGUAUCGAACAGGAUUAGAUACCCUGGUAGUCCACGCAGUAAACGAUGAAUACUAAUUGUUCGGGUCAAAUGAGAUCUGAGUGAUACAGCGAAAGCGUUAAGUAUUCCACCUGGGGAGUACGCCGGCAACGGUGAAACUCAAAGGAAUUGACGGGGGCCCGCACAAGCGGAGGAACAUGUGGUUUAAUUCGAUGAUACGCGAGGAACCUUACCCGGGCUCAAACGACACAGGAAUGAUCUGAGAAAUCAGGCAGUCCUCCGGGACCUGUGUCGAGGUGCUGCAUGGUUGUCGUCAGCUCGUGCCGUGAGGUGUCGGCUUAAGUGCCAUAACGAGCGCAACCCCCAUCGACAGUUGCCAGCAGGUGAAGCUGGGCACUCUGUCGAGACUGCCGGCGCAAGCUGUGAGGAAGGCGGGGAUGACGUCAAAUCAGCACGGCCCUUACGUCCGGGGCGACACACGUGUUACAAUGGCAGGUACAGCGGGAAGCCACCUGGCGACAGGGAGCGGAACCCGAAAGCCCGUCUCAGUUCGGAUUGGAGUCUGCAACUCGACUCCAUGAAGCUGGAUUCGCUAGUAAUCGCGCAUCAGCCACGGCGCGGUGAAUACGUUCCCGGGCCU